rnacentral:rRNA from 1 species
UAACAAGGAUUCCCCUAGUAACUGCGAGUGAAGCGGGAAGAGCUCAAAUUUAAAAUCUGGCGGUCUUCUGGCUGUCCGAGUUGUAAUCUGGAGAAGCGUUUUCUGUGUUAGACCGUGUACAAGUCUCCUGGAACGGAGCGUCAUAGAGGGUGAGAAUCCCGUCCAUGACACGGACUACUAAUACUUUGUGAUACGCUCUCGAAGAGUCGAGUUGUUUGGGAAUGCAGCUCAAAAUGGGUGGUAAAUUCCAUCUAAAGCUAAAUACAGGCGAGAGACCGAUAGCGAACAAGUACCGUGAGGGAAAGAUGAAAAGCACUUUGGAAAGAGAGUUAAACAGUACGUGAAAUUGUUGGAAGGGAAACGCUUGAAGUCAGUCGCGUUGUGCAGAACUCAGCCUUGCCUCGGCUUGGUGUACUUUCUGCACAACGGGUCAACAUCAAUUUUGGCCCAUGGAGAAAGGUGGGGGGAAUGUAGCGCUGUUUCGGCAGCGUGUUAUAGCCCUCUAUUGUAUACAUGGGCUGGGAUUGAGGAUCGCAGCACGCCCUUGUGGCCGGGGGUUCGCCCUACGUACCGUGCUUAGGAUGUUGGCAGAAUGGCUUUAAGCGACCCGUCUUGAAACACGGACCAAGGAGUCUAACAUGCUUGCAGUGUUCGGGUGGAAAACCCUUGUGCGUAAUGAAAGUGAAAGUUGGGAACCUCCGCAAGGGGGUGCACCGACGCCCGGCCCUGACGUUCUCUGACGGUGCUGCGGUAGAGCAAGUAUGCUAGGACCCGAAAGAUGGUGAACUAUGCCUGAAUAGGGCGAAGCCAGAGGAAACUCUGGUGGAGGCUCGUAGCGAUUCUGACGUGCAAAUCGAUCGUCAAAUUUGGG